rnacentral:rRNA from 1 species
AUUGAACGCUGGCGGCAGGCCUAACACAUGCAAGUCGAACGGUAACAGGAAGCAGCUUGCUGUUUUGCUGACGAGUGGCGGACGGGUGAGUAAUGUCUGGGAAACUGCCUGAUGGAGGGGGAUAACUACUGGAAACGGUAGCUAAUACCGCAUAACGUCGCAAGACCAAAGAGGGGGACCUUAGGGCCUCUUGCCAUCGGAUGUGCCCAGAUGGGAUUAGCUAGUAGGUGGGGUAACGGCUCACCUAGGCGACGAUCCCUAGCUGGUCUGAGAGGAUGACCAGCCACACUGGAACUGAGACACGGUCCAGACUCCUACGGGAGGCAGCGGUGGGGAAUAUUGCACAAUGGGCGCAAGCCUGAUGCAGCCAUGCCGCGUGUAUGAAGAAGGCCUUCGGGUUGUAAAGUACUUUCAGCGGGGAGGAAGGGAGUAAAGUUAAUACCUUUGCUCAUUGACGUUACCCGCANAAGAAGCACCGGCUAACUCCGUGCCAGCAGCCGCGGUAAUACNGANGGUGCAAGCGUUAAUCGGNAAUUACUGGGCGUAAAGCNCACGCNNCGGUUUGUUAAGUCAGAUGUGAAAUCCCCGGGCUCAACCUGGGAACUGCAUCUGAUACUGGCAAGCUUGAGUCUCGUANAGGGGGGUANAAUUCCAGGUGUAGCGGUGAAAUNGCGUAGAGAUCUGGAGGAAUACCCGGUGG